UAUUAUUAUUAUUAUUAUUAUUAUUAUUAUUAUUAUUAUUAUUAUUAUUAUUAUUAUUAUUAUUAUUAUUAUUAUUAUUAUUAUUAUUAUUAUUAUUAUUAUUAUUAUUAUUAUUAUUAUUAUUAUUAUUAUUAUUAUUAUUAUUAUUAUUAUUAUUAUUAUUAUUAUUAUUAUUAUUAUUAUUAUUAUUAUUAUUAUUAUUAUUAUUAUUAUUAUUAUUAUUAUUAUUAUUAUUAUUAUUAUUAUUAUCAAUGAAUAAAUUAAUACAUACAUCAGAUUGGGUUUUCUCUUAGCUCAAACGUUUAUUAUGUUUAUCAGUAAUGUAAAUUAGCUGUAUUUGAUAUAGCGCUUUCAAGGGCUCUACAACCCCCCAAGGUGCUUUACAACACAAUCAGUCAUUCACCUUCAUUCGCACACACACACACACACAUUCACACGCUGAUGGUAAUGAGCUACAUUGUAGCCACAGCUGCCCCAGGGCACACCUGACUGAAGCGAGGCUGCCGAGCACUGGCGCCACCUGUCCCUCCGACCUCCACCAGCAGGCAAGGUGGGUAAAGUGUCUUGCCCAAGGAAAUGACUGUAACAGAUGGGGCUCAAACCUAAACCCUCCAAUAACAGUGAGGGCACUUAUCUCCUCUGCAAAUGUUGCACUAUUAGUCUAUUUAUUCUUACAUACACGUGUGUGUGUGUGUGUGUGUGUGUGUGUGUGAUUCUUGGCAUAUGUACAUUUGUUUAGGCUCAAAUUCACAGCUUCAGGCAUAACAGGUUUAUUUGCCAGCCUCUGGGUUUUGAGACAUUUUCACAAUCGUUGCAACUUAAUGUGACCAUGCGGAUUUUUACCUUUAAUCUCUGGAAAUAUUAAUCGAACCGUUGUUGAAAAUUAAUAAGUGAUGUCUAUUCUUUGAAAAGUAUUGGCGACUUUGUGACAUAUAGCCAUAAAAAUUGUGUCUGAAAUACAUAGGGCAUGGUCUAGCGUCUUUAGGGGAUGCCAUGUUUUCUUCUGGCUUACUCGGGGUCCUGUGCCUGUCGAUGACUAGAUGAAUGGCUGGAUGUACGACUUACAGAAGAUCGAAAACAUUUAAGUAAUGAGAAACACGAAUUUAAUAACAACAGUGCUAAACUAUUUUCUAAGUGAAAGAACAGAAUCGAAAAAGAGAUGCAAUAUAUUUUGGCCGAGCGGUAUUGCCAUAGUUUGAUGACAUCAUUGGCAGGCGCAGGACCCCAAGCAGAUCCGAUAAGUACAGCAUCAGAAAACUAGCAAUGGCAUUGUAUUCUAUCAAUAGAAAUAACUCAAGGACCAUCAAAGUCUGAGGAGUUAAACCGAGGUUGCAUGUUUUCUGCUCCACAUGUAACAUUUACAUAAUGUUUUUUAAACUAGCAACAGUUACAGAGAUCAGGUGAAAACUAUCCUGAAAUGUGUGUACUGCCCCCCUUGCACCAGAAAACUACACACUGCCACUUUAAAGCACCAAAUUAUUAGCAGCUUUUUCUGAAGCUUGUAGGCUUUUCCAAACAUAAUUUCUUUUAGAACAUGGUAAGACAACAUCAUUUAUGAAUGUGGCAAAUGUUCCUAAAUAAUGACCACUCUGCUCCUUAAUGACCUGCACAAUUUGUGUAUUUACAUCUGUAGCAAAGUUUCUGUAAAAUAAAUCUAAUCACAUUUAAAUGGCACCUUAGUAAUGUAAAAAUAUUUUUACGGAGAUAUUUUGGAGAGCUGUGAGAUGAUGGUCAGUGGGUUAGAGGCUGGUCGUGUUGGUGACACUGGUGGUGUUAUAACAUAACAUUGGAAUGGUUUUCACCAGUUUCAUCACAUCUCAGGAAACAGAUGCACAUGGAUUUGAAGGUAAUAUUAAAGUCAAAAGUGAUCUUCUGGUGUUGGAUGAGAGAAGUGAAACCUAGCUGGAAGCUUUAGAUGGUCACAACUGCGUAAAAGUUCUAGUGGCUGGUAAAAAUUGCCGUCCAUACUAACAUUUGUGGGUGAAUUUGCGUGAAUAGUUGGGAUUGCAACGCCACAAACAUUGAUGGUCCAGAGGAGGUAUGUACAGGUGUACAUGGGUCUGCUGUCUCAUUCCGUGGUUUGUUAUAAUAAAAAAAACCUAACAGCUAACCCUAACCCUAAAAUCUAAAGGCAGGAAUAAUUGUUUUCAAUGAUGUUGCUGAUUGAAUAGCCUCUUUUGUUCUCUUGUUUGUACACUCUUAAGUCCUAGUGUUUUAAGGCUACACAUUAUGUUGAACUCACCUCAUUCUGUUGUACUGCCACGUGGGUCUCUGUUUCUACACUGUUUCUAUAAACACUCCAAAAGU
rnacentral:lncRNA from 1 species